rnacentral:rRNA from 1 species
UACGUAGGGUGCAAGCGUUAAUCGGAAUACUGGGCGUAAAGCGUGCGCAGGCGGUGAUGUAAGACAGAUGUGAAAUCCCCGGGCUCAACCUGGGAACUGCAUUUGUGACUGCAUCGCUGGAGUACGGCAGAGGGGAUGGAAUUCCGCGUGUAGCAGUGAAAUGCGUAGAUAUGCGGAGGAACACCGAUGGCGAAGGCAAUCCCCUGGACCUGUACUGACGCUCAUGCACGAAAGCGUGGGAGCAAACGAGGAUAGAAAC